UACAGAGGUCCCGAGCGUUGUUCGGAUUCAUUGGGCGUAAAGGGUGCGUAGGCGGCUUUCUAAGUUUGAUGUGAAAUCCUGGGGCUCAACCCUGGAACUGCAUUGAAUACUGGGAGGCUAGAGUACUGGAGAGGAAACUGGAAUUUACGGUGUAGCAGUGAAAUGCGUAGAGAUCGUAAGGAAGACCAGUGGCGAAGGCGAGUUCUGGACAGUUCCUGACACUGAGGCACGAAGGCCAGGGGAGCAAACGGG
rnacentral:rRNA from 1 species